UUUUUUAUAGUGUAAACAACACAUAACAUUUUCAUUGUUAAAAUGAUUUUAAAUCUAAAAAAA
rnacentral:tRNA from 1 species